UUCCAAUAAAUAAAAAAAAUUCACCUGCUUAUUAUGGUGGUGUGAUUUUUAUCGUUGGUGCAAAAAAAAAAAGCUGUCUUUGACAGCAGCGGCCAGACAACCGUAGGGAUGGAUCCACAGGUGAAUGGGUUGAAUUCCAUUUGUCUACUGAUUCCAUCUCACAUUA
rnacentral:snoRNA from 1 species